CUGCCUGGUUGGAAGAGACCUUGAAGGUGAUUGAGUCCAACCAUUAACCCAGCACUGCCUGUUUGGAAGAGACCUUAAAGGUGAUUGAGUCCAACCAUCAACUCAGCACUGCCUGUUUGGAAGAGACCUUAAAGGUGAUUGAGUCCAACCAUCAACCCAGCACUGUCUGUUUGGAAGAGACUUUGAAGGUGAUUGAGUCCAACCAUCAACCCAGCACUGCCUGUUUGGAAGAGACCUUGAAGGUGAUUGAGUCCAACCAUCAACCCAGCACUGCCUGUUUGGAAGAGACCUUGAAGGUGAUUGAGUCCAACCAUUAACCCAGCACUGCCUGUUUGGAAGAGACCUUGAAGGUGAUUGAGUCCAACCAUCAACCCAGCACCACCAAGUCCACCACUAAACCAUGUUCUCCAGGACCACAUCUUCACAGCUUUGAAACCUUUCCAGGACUGGGGACUUCACCACUCUCUGGACAGCUUGGGACAGACCUUGACACGGUCCAGAGGAUUUUUUGACUCCUGGUGGUCCAGAUAUGAUCAGUGCAACUUAGGGAGGAGUCUUCAAGCAUGCCAAGCACCUACAGAAGAGCAAUGGCAGCUUAAUGAACCAACUUGUUGAGCUGCUCCUGAGCUCUGCCUGCAGCCACACAACAGCUGCUCACCUCAGCAACUGCAGAACGGUGGAGCUGGCAGCCUGCAUGGCUCCUGUCAGCUGAAAUGAUGAUGGAACACAACUGGCCACUUGGAACGAAGGCAAGCAAGCUUUCUGGAGAUGAACUGGUGGAGCUACAGGCUGUAAACUUCCAUCCUUG